rnacentral:tRNA from 1 species
AAAAAUUUAGUUAAAAAAUAACGUUAGCUUGUCAAGCUAAGAUUAGUAAUCACUAAUUUUUA